rnacentral:ncRNA from 1 species
GAAUAUCCAGGAGGCUGUGACCCGGCGCCCCCCAAUUUGGUCACUUGGGGCCCGGCGAGCCAACAGUGAAACCGGCUUGGGAGAGG